GAUGAACGCUGGCGGCGUGCCUAAUACAUGCAAGUCGAGCGAACAGAUGAGGAGCUUGCUCCUCUGACGUUAGCGGCGGACGGGUGAGUAACACGUGGAUAACCUACCUAUAAGACUGGGAUAACUUCGGGAAACCGGAGCUAAUACCGGAUAAUAUAUUGAACCGCAUGGUUCAAUAGUGAAAGACGGUUUUGCUGUCACUUAUAGAUGGAUCCGCGCCGCAUUAGCUAGUUGGUAAGGUAACGGCUUACCAAGGCAACGAUGCGUAGCCGACCUGAGAGGGUGAUCGGCCACACUGGAACUGAGACACGGUCCAGACUCCUACGGGAGGCAGCAGUAGGGAAUCUUCCGCAAUGGGCGAAAGCCUGACGGAGCAACGCCGCGUGAGUGAUGAAGGUCUUCGGAUCGUAAAACGCUGUUAUUAGGGAAGAACAAAUGUGUAAGUAACUAUACACGUCUUGACGGUACCUAAUAAGAAAGCCACGGCUAACUACGU
rnacentral:rRNA from 1 species